rnacentral:rRNA from 1 species
UACAGAGGUGGCAAGCGUUGUUCGGAAUUACUGGGCGUAAAGGGCGCGUAGGCGGCGUGUCAAGUCAGGCGUGAAAGCCCCGGGCUCAACCUGGGAACCGCGCUUGAGACUGGCAUGCUCGAGUUCGGGAGAGGAUGGUGGAAUUCCCAGUGUAGAGGUGAAAUUCGUAGAUAUUGGGAAGAACACCGAUGGCGAAGGCAGCCAUCUGGACCGACACUGACGCUGAGGCGCGAAAGCGUGGGGAGCAAACAGG